UACGUAGGGCGCAAGCGUUAUCCGGAAUUAUUGGGCGUAAAGAGCUCGUAGGCGGUUUGUCGCGUCUGCCGUGAAAGUCCGGGGCUCAACUCCGGAUCUGCGGUGGGUACGGGCAGACUAGAGUGAUGUAGGGGAGACUGGAAUUCCUGGUGUAGCGGUGAAAUGCGCAGAUAUCAGGAGGAACACCGAUGGCGAAGGCAGGUCUCUGGGCAUUAACUGACGCUGAGUAGCGAAAGCAUGGGGAGCGAACAGG
rnacentral:rRNA from 1 species